rnacentral:lncRNA from 1 species
CUACCCUAGGUAUAACACCCUAUUUGGAGCCACUUUUGUUCUUGGACCUACCCCAAAAACUGACCGGAAGUGGCCGGAAUAGCAAUCCCAAAAUCGGCCAAAUUUCAAUUCGAAAAUUGAAUUGGCUACGCUAAGAAUCGAUCCAAUCCUACCCAACCAUCAUCUAGAGCAGCUUGAGAGGUUCAAAAUUCAUACCUGGCUUGACUGAAACGGUGGCCAGAGGAGGGAGAUCGGCGGCUGUGAAGAUCGGGCGACGUCGGCCGCUUCUUCUCCAAAUUCCGGCGAAACCGCGGCGGCUGGAGGCAGGAGCUGGCUGGGGUUGGAAGAGGACGACGGCCUGCUCAUUUUGGUACCGGUCCCGUCGUCAUCGGAGGCCGGAGGAGAGCACGGCCGGCCAAAACGUGGCCGGCUGUCGUCGCGCGCGAGAGAGAGGAGAGAGAGACCGCGCGGGAGAGAGAGAGAGAGAGAGAGAGAGAGAGAGAGAAAUUCUGAUUUUUUAUAAAAUCUCAUUUCGAAAUAAUUACGAUUGUGCCACUGGGUUUCUUUUGACCAUAUCUCUCUCGUUACAACUCCGAUUCGAGCCCACUACGUGUCUAUGAACUCGUCUCAGUACGACCUAUCCAAAAAUACUAAUCACUGCCCCAAACUCUCUCCAAUUAAGAAUAUGACCAAAAUGCUCUUAAAUAAUUAAAUAAUUUAAAUAAGGGUUAAAUUUGGAGUCGGGGUGUUACAUUCCAUUUAAUUUGGUAUUUGUUUUUGUGUGAUAUAUUUCUCUUAGGGCGUGUCAAAUGGUAAAGCUGCAAUUAACGGUGUCUUUUUUGUUUUUUUUUUUUCCUUCAAAAUUGAAACCUCCACUUCGCUGAAUUUUGGGCUCUCACAUGUGUGCGAAAUUGCAAACCUUUUUUUUUGUAUUGGGGUUCCAAUUUUCCAAAAUCAGUUCUCCCUAAGGUGAUAAGUUUUUCUUUUCUUUUUUAAUUUUUCCUCUGAUGUCUCUGUCCAAAACAUUAUUUUUUUCGCAGUACGUUUUGUGCAAUGUACAGAUAUAUUAUUGGAAUAGAAGAUGAAUCUGUCUUUUCAAAACAGCAAGAGUUACAUAUUCUGCGAGUACUUUACUCCACCGGUUUUAGAAUGAAUUUAUUUAUUUUCACAUAUAUCUUUUUAAACUCAAACAUUUAAUUUUGAAUUUUCCAAUGGAAAUGACACAAUUUUUGGUAUAGUUUUC